UACAGAGGGUGCGAGCGUUGUCCGGAAUCACUGGGCGUAAAGGGCGCGUAGGUGGCGGGAUAAGCGUGUGGUGAAAGCCCGGGGCUCAACCCCGGGUCUGCCAUGCGAACUGUCUUGCUCGAGCAUAGUAGAGGCAGGUGGAAUUCCGGGUGUAGCGGUGGAAUGCGUAGAGAUCCGGAAGAACACCGGUGGCGAAGGCGGCCUGCUGGGCUAUUGCUGACACUGAGGCGCGACAGCGUGGGGAGCAAACAGG
rnacentral:misc_RNA from 1 species